rnacentral:lncRNA from 1 species
CCGUGCUGUGCUCCAGCCCCAAGUUUGGCUGCUGAACAGCAGAAAACUAAAGAAAGUUGAGAGGCAGACAGGCUGAAUACAGGCAAAGAGGAGAGCUUCCAACCUGAGUUCCUGCUGCAGAAACAGGCUGAGUGUGAGAAACCACCAGAGAAAACUUUGUCUGAUGUUCAGAGACCUAAGCAACUUUACCGGAUCAAUAAGAACACUCAGCCUUCCCUGGACUUCUCCCUUUUGGCAGCUCCAGAGCUUUAACAUUUCACGUGGAGUGGAUCUGGCUCCAGAUUUCCAGGACACUGAAAUGAAGACUGGUAGAGCUUGUGAUGAUGUCAGUAACAUAGAGAGAGAGAGAAGAGGGGAGAGAGACAUUCAUCUUACAUGGCUGAAACUUAAAAGGCAUCUCUCCAGGUCUAAGAAAAUUGUGCAGGAGAGCCCCAGGGCAUGGUGCAUGCUACCUGGCCAGCCAAGAGGAGGAGAAGAAAAGAAGAUGUGAUGGAUUUCUAUGACACAAGAAACUCCUCUCAGAUUUGCCCCUUUCCCUACUAUUGAUUAAUCACCCACAGUAAACUCUUCAGAGUAAACUCUGCAUGUAUCUUCCUGUCUUCCAGUAGACUCCAUCAGUUAGAAAGUAAGCUUUA